GGCGGCCAUGGCCCAGGUGAGACGCCCGGUCCCAUUCCGAACCCGGAAGCUAAGGCCUGGCACGGCGAUGGUACUGCACCCGACAGGGUGUGGGAGAGUAGCACGCCGCCGCAC
rnacentral:rRNA from 1 species